rnacentral:pre_miRNA from 1 species
AGCUUUUCGAAUCCGUGCAGAGAUUUCGUCAGACACCAACCCAUCAGGGUUGAUCUGACUUCUAAGCUAAGUGAAGUC